rnacentral:rRNA from 1 species
UACGUAGGCAGCAAGCGUUGUUCGGAGUUACUGGGCGUAAAGGGUGCGUAGGCGGUCCUAUAAGUAUGGUGUGAAAUCUCCCGGCUUAACUGGGAGGGUGCGCUAUAGACUGUGGGACUAGAGUGUGGGAGAGGAAAGUGGAAUUCCUGGUGUAGCGGUGAAAUGCGUAGAUAUCAUUUGGAACGCCAAUGGUGAAAACAGCUCGCUGGGGGUGCACUGACACUGAGACACGAAAGCCAGGGGAGCGAACGGG